UACGAAGGGGCUAGCGUUGCUCGGAAUCACUGGGCGUAAAGGGUGCGUAGGCGGGUCUUUAAGUCAGGGGUGAAAUCCUGGAGCUCAACUCCAGAACUGCCUUUGAUACUGAGGAUCUUGAGUUCGGGAGAGGUGAGUGGAACUGCGAGUGUAGAGGUGAAAUUCGUAGAUAUUCGCAAGAACACCAGUGGCGAAGGCGGCUCACUGGCCCGAGUACGUGACGCUGAGGCACGAAAGCGUGGG
rnacentral:rRNA from 1 species